UAAGUAUAACGGAGGACAUUUCUGAAACUUAUAUAAACAAUAAACCUUCCUCUUAUUUUAGCAACAUUCAAACAUCCUUAUACUUAAUGUAGUAAGAUAAAACAAGUUUUCAGGAUGUGAAUUUAAUGAAAUACAUUUGUGUUAUUUAGAAAAAUGCCAUCUUCUAAUGUAUCGUACAUAACUUGAAAUCACCACUCGAAUACAGUGAAAUAAAGACUGAUCAUACAGUUUCAAAAUAUUCAAGCGAGACUGAUCGUACAGUGAGAAAUUCAAACAAGUGUAAUUGUCUUAUUUCUGGCUUCAAAGAUCUAGCUGAAACUUUUACCACCACUUAAAAUAUACUUUAUUUAGUUAAUUAAGUCUGGUUUUUACGUUAAUUUGUACAGUAAGGGUGCAAAAAGAUUGUUUUUAGGUUCACCGACUGAUUUUCCUUAGUGAUGCAUUUGAAAAUCUCUUGAUUAAGGCAUAGAAAUGAAUAAUGAAUGUGCUAAAUUUAAUUAUAAACUAUUUGUGAAUAUCGAUAUCAGAUGAAUUAAUCAUUAAGCAAUGUACAGAUGAACAUCUAACCGUUUAAUACAGUAUAUCCAACAUAUUUAAAAUGUGAUCCAAAAAGUUCUCGCUUCGAAAAUCGCGACUUCCGGAUAGCAUACAGAAUAGUAUCUACA
rnacentral:lncRNA from 1 species